AUUGGCUAUGCAAAUGAUUUAAUCAAAGAAUUGGUUUGAGAGUUUGUGUGAAUAUUGGUGUGAGUGCAUGUGACUAAUGUGGGUCAGGUUGUGAUAUCUGUGCCCAGAAACAGUUGUUUUGUCUGAUUGUGUGCAGGUGACUUGAGGUCAGCCUUGGUCAAUGGUAAGGACCGAGACUAUGCUCACGGAGGAGCAGAGGUCUAUUGCGGUCGGGAUACCAUGUGAGAAGGUGACUAGAGUCUGGAUUCUUGGAGGUCAACUUUGGUCAACGGUGGGGAUUGGGACUAGACUCAGGGAGGAGUUGAGGUCCAGACGGUCAAGGAUACCGGGUGACGAAGUUGGAUACAAGAUGGCAUACGGUGGAUGGAUAUCGUGUGGGAGAGAUCUUCGCAACGGGCUUCAUGAGGUGUGUGUGCAAGUACCGGUAUUCGCGAAGGGAAUUGUAAAGUUGGGGUAGUAUAUGGUGCUACAGUACACGAGGUACUGUAGCCUGCAGGUAUGCAUGCAUGUACGGUGCUGUACAGGUAUGUGUGAUCGAUACAUGCAUGGUGAAGCAUGUAUGUGUGCAUGACUGGUUGGCCGAGCAGCACGAGAGCGGCUCGGUGGGCUUCGGUGGCUGUUGGCGGCAUGCCAAGUCGGCCUAGGAGAAGCAAGGGUCCAGCUGGCAGCGAGUCGGAGAUGGUCACGCGUGGACGUCAGCUUGGGAGCGAAUCCGUUUUGGAUUUCUGGUGCGGCCAGUUGUUUGCUGCACGUUUGGAAAUUGUAAAACGUAUGGAAACUGAAGGAUGGAGUCCUAUUGUGUAUUAUUGUGUAUAGGAGUUUUACACCUACUUUGAGUAGGGGAUUUUUGUGGUAUAAAUAGAGAGGGAGCGUGAUGCUUCCUGUAUCGCUUUAGAGAGCAAUAGAGUUGAGUUUUGGUUUAGGGUUUCAAGUUUUGUCAAAAUUUUUGUAAGGAGUGCUGUUGUUGCACUUUGUAAACACAGAGAGAAGUAAUAAAGUCGUCAUCCACUUUAAGAGUUCUUCGAUUUGUGUUUCACCGGGUUUCGGCCGUCUAACCGGCAACUCACCGGUGGUCAGACCGGCGGCAUUGCGGCGGUCAGACCGGCGGGAGCGAGGCGGUCAGACUGGCGGCGGCGACAGGUGUGGAAAGCGACUUUGGCAGUCAGACCGGAGAUUCAACACCGGUCAGACCGGCGGCAUCCACUCGGUCAGACCGGUAGAUCAAUCUCGGUCAGACCGACUUCCGUCGAUUUCGAGGCUUCCUUCACAUGCUUCAUUCCGACGACUACAGCAAGGAAGCAAAGCAGCAGGAUGAAGGGAUCUGGCGAAGGCAGAUGAUUCACAUACAAAAAUGAUGGUGGCGAGAUGGCGGCGGCUUCGACUUCUCGGGAUAGCUACAGCGAGAACAACGGCAGUAGCUUCUCGAGACAGCUGCGGCGGCUGCCCGCACGGCAACAACGCGGCGGCGGCUGCUCGCGACGGCUGCGGCGACAACGCCUGCAGCAGCUUUGUCUGGCGACGGCUUCGUGCACGCGUGCAGUCGAAUGGAAUCCCCUCGUUCUUCCUGCGUGGAAGACGGAUUACAGUAGCAAACUGAAAUCGUGGAUGCGCCCGGACCUUAGCCGACCAAUUAUCUAUCUAUCUAUCGAUCUAUACUUAUACUUAUACUAAUUGGACACUUUCUACGAGCUCUCACGUUAUAGAAAAAA